GGAAUUUUCCGCAAUGGGCGAAAGCCUGACGGAGCAAUACCGCGUGAGGGAUGAAGGAUUUUGGUCUGUAAACCUCUUUUCUCAAGAAAGAAGUUCUGACGGUACUUGAGGAAUAAGCAUCGGCUAACUCCGCGCCAGCAGCCGCGGUAAUACGGGGGAUGCAAGCGUUAUCCGGAAUUAUUGGGCGUAAAGCGCCUGUAGGUUGUUUAGUAAGUUCGUUGUUAAAGACCAGGGCUUAACCCUGGAAAAGCGAUGGAAACUACUAGGCUUGAGUAUGGUAGGGGUAGAGGGAAUUUCUAGUGUAGCGGUGAAAUGCGUAGAUAUUAGAAAGAACACCGGUGGCGAAAGCGCUCUACUGGGCCAUUACUGACACUGAGAGGCGAAAGCUAGGGGAGCGAAAGGGAUUAGAUACCCCUGUAGUC
rnacentral:rRNA from 1 species